CCCAAGUGGCUCCGGUGCGUAGUGACAAGAGGAAACCCCGCCCACUUCGUGGCCCCGGGCUUUUACCAUGACAAACACCGGCGGAAAAAGAGCACUCCAACUCGCUCAGCUGAGUUGGAGGCGGAUUCGAGCGCCCGCCCCCGUGUCCUGGGAGUUACCCCGACUGACACCAGACUCAACUCGCUCAGGUGAGCGCAAACCGGAGUAAACCGGCCCGCUCCGUUGACGUGUCAGAUGCUUUGACUAGCAAAGCUUGUUCUGCGCGUUUGCUCGCAUGCCCCGUUGACACAGACGACAGGAUGAAAGGCAUCGCUUUGAAGGGGGAAGUUGUGGCGCCGAGCGGGCAAAAUUGCUUCAUGAAGCAGUCCCAAGGAGCUCAUCGACACUCGCGUAUUCGGAUCCGGACCGGAGGGAAGCAA